rnacentral:rRNA from 1 species
UACGGAGGAUGCGAGCGUUAUCCGGAUUUAUUGGGUUUAAAGGGUGCGUAGGCGGACUGUCAAGUCAGCGGUAAAAUACGGGGGCUCAACCUCCGCCCGCCGUUGAAACUGACGGUCUUGAGUGGGCGAGAAGUAUGCGGAAUGCGUGGUGUAGCGGUGAAAUGCAUAGAUAUCGCGCAGAACUCCGAUUGCGAAGGCAGCAUGCCGGCUCCACACUGACGCUGAGGCACGAAAGCAUGGGUAUCGAACAGG